rnacentral:rRNA from 1 species
UACAUGGGGUGCAAACGUUGCUCGGAAUCAUUGGGCGUAAAGGGCGCGUAGGCGGCCAUGCGUGUCUUCCGUGAAAUCCCUCGGCUUAACUGAGGACGUGCGGAAGAAACUGCAAGGCUCGAGUCCGGGAGAGGGGGGUGGAAUUCCCAGUGUAGCGGUGAAAUGCGUAGAUAUUGGGAGGAACACCGGUGGCGAAGGCGGCCCCCUGGACCGGAACUGACGCUGAGGCGCGAAAGCGUGGGUAGCAAACGGG